UCCUACGGGAUGCAGCAGUGGGGAAUAUUGCACAAUGGGCGCAAGCCUGAUGCAGCCAUGCCGCGUGUAUGAAGAAGGCCUUCGGGUUGUAAAGUACUUUCAGCGGGGAGGAAGGCAAUAAGGUUAAUAACCUGUUCAUGACGACCGAC
rnacentral:rRNA from 1 species